rnacentral:piRNA from 1 species
UCCUUCGUAAUAGCCAGUGAAGAGCAUGAA